UACAUGUGGUGCAAGCGUUGUUCGGAAUUACUGGGCAUAAAGGGUGCGUAGGCGGUGUCGUCAGUCUGGGGUGAAAUCCUGCGGCCCAACCGUGGGACUGCCUCGGAUACUGCGAUGCUUGAGUGCGUGAGGGGUGAUCGGAACGCGUGGUGUAGCGGUGAAAUGCGUAGAUAUCACGCGGAAGCCAACGGCGAAGGCAGAUCACUGGCGCGCAACUGACGCUGAGUGCACGAAAGCGUGGGGAGCAAACAGG
rnacentral:rRNA from 1 species